CUCUUUAGCUUGGCAUUUGAAUCGGCUUUGCUGUUGCGAAGUAGAGUGGCGGCUUCGGCUGCCGAGGGUCGAUCCAUUUGGGAAAUGUUGUGUACUUCGGUAUGCAUCUCAAUUGGACCUGAUAUCAGGCAAGAUUACCCGCUGAACUUAAGCAUAUUAAUAAGCGGAGGAAAAGAAACUAACAAGGAUUCCCCUAGUAACGGCGAGUGAAGCGGGAAGAGCUCAAGCUUAAAUUCUCCGUGCAAGUUUUGCGCGGCGAAUUGUAGUCUAUAGAGGCGUGAUCAGUGUGGGCGCUUGGGGCAAGUUCCUUGGAAGAGGACAGCAUGGAGGGUGAUACUCCCGUUCAUCCCUGAGUUGCUCGUGCGUACGAUCCGUUUUCUUUGAGUCGCGUUGUUUGGGAAUGCAGCGCAAAGUAGGUGGUAAAUUCCAUCUAAAGCUAAAUAUUGGUGCGAGACCGAUAGCGAACAAGUACCGUGAGGGAAAGAUGAAAAGAACUUUGAAAAGAGAGUUAAAGAGUACCUGAAACUGCUGAAAGGGAACCGAAUCGUUUCCAGUGUCUAUAAUCCGUGGUAUAUUUCAUUGGCGAGUGUGUGCGUGCGUGUGCUGUGGCAGCGGCUUUUUUGGCUGCGCUCGGCGUGUGUGCUGUGUGUGCUUGCUGGUGCCCUGUGCUGCGGUGGGACGUCAAGGUCAGUUCGUAUGCUGCGGGAAAUGGCCGCCGAGGAGGUAGGGCUUACGCUUGCGUUUGUCUGUUAUAUCUUGGUGGACGAGUAGUCGCGGUUGGGACUGAGGUGCCUACAACGUGUUUUUGAGUGGGCCUGUGUCUCUGUGUGCGCCGUGUGCGGAUAGCUUGCUAUGCGUGUGUGGUUGUGUGUGGAUUUGAUGUGGGUUUAACUUGUGGCCGUUUCGGGACGUUGACGAAAUGGAAGCGAUUUGACCCGUCUUUGAAACACGGAACCAAGGGAGUCUAACAUGUGUGCAAGUGUUAGGGUGUGGUAUACCUCCAGCGCGAAAUGAAAAGUGAAGGGCAGCGUAAGUUGUCUGAGGUAGGUAAUGCUGCGGGGCUUCGGUCUGCGGUGUGGCACUAUCGACCGAGUCAUGAACCUUCGUGGUGAAAGAUUUGAGUUUGAGCACAUAUGUUGGUACCCCGAAAGAUGGUGAACUAUGCCUGAGUAGGGUGAAGGCAGGGGA